AAUGUAAGUGCCAAUUAGAAGAGACUAUACAUGCUCACAUGGGCCGUACAACAACUCAUGUUUUAUUUGUUUCAUUUACCCAAGGUCAGGACCUCUUCUUCUUCUCUCCACGCCAUCACCACCAACUACCACCAUUGUUCUUCUUCUCCAUAAAAGAAUUUACUAUUUCCAAUCACCCAAAAUCACAUGCAAAUUCUUGGCUAAACUCCUCACAACCCAAGGAUUAAGGCAAUUAAGUUGCAUGUGCUGUUCAUUCAAUCAUAAGGAUAUGGGCCAUUGGAAUUCUAAGAGCUUGAGACC